rnacentral:lncRNA from 1 species
CAUUAGUCUAAGAAUAUAACAGAACGAUCAUUUUGUUAUAAAAUUGAAGUUGAUCGAUGACUAUCUUGUUACAUAUUAUAGAUCAGUGAUCAUUUUGUUACAAAAUUGAAAUUGAUCGAUGACCACUUUAUUACAUGUUAUAGAUCAGUGACUAUUUUAUUACAAUCUUUUAUAGGUCAGUGAUCAAAAAAGUAAUUAACCCAU